ACGUGAAACCUUGUGGGAAGCAGGGAGGACCACCUCCCAAGGCUAAAUACUACCUGAUGACCGAUAGUGAAGCAGUACCGUGAGGGAAAGGUGAAAAGAACCCCGGGAGGGGAGUGAAAUAGAACCUGAAACCGUGUGCCUACAACCGCUCAGAGCCCCUUAUGAGGGUGAUGAGGUGCUUUUUGUAGAACGAGCCAACGAGUUACGGUAUGUAGCAAGGUUAAGUACUUAAGGUACGGAGCCGAAGGGAAACCGAGUCUGAAUAGGGCGACUAGUUGCAUGCCGUAGACCCGAAACCGGGUGAC
rnacentral:rRNA from 1 species